rnacentral:lncRNA from 1 species
CUUGCUUCUAAUCGGCCUGCCAGCUUUUCCAGCAUCUCCUGGGUUUACUGAAAAGAUCUUAAGUUGGGAAGUUGAAACGCUGACCCAGGUGUGUUUGCCAACAGGCAGAAUCAACAACAGGCAGAAUCAACAACAGGGAGAAUCAACAACGGAGAAUCAACAACAGGGAGAAUCGACAACAGGGAGAAUCAACAACAGGCAGAAUCAACAACAGGCAGAAUCAACAACAGGGAGAAUCAACUCAGUGGGGAGGUGUCGGGUGCUUUUUGUGUGUGGAGCCCUGAUGAGGAAACACAAGCCAAGUAGAAACAGUCCGUGCCCCAGAUGGGUCCACAGCCUUUGGGGGACUGUGACAGCAUCACGGCAGGACGGGUGCUCUGUAAUCGUUACGCACCAGGUGUCUUGGGAGCAGAGGAGGUGGCUCCCCACAAGGUCACGUUGUGCUGAUGUGAUGGGUGAGAACGGUGAACGCCAGUAAGAAUGGGAAGAAUGGAGAAAGCGCGUGCAUGUGUCUCCCAGCUGCAGCCUUCAAUAUCCACUCGCAUCUGAAGAUCUGAUUGAUUGGCCAGCGUCACUCCUGCUCAUGCCCUCCAGAUGGGAACCCGACAAGGCAGGGAGCCAGGGUCAGGCCCAGAAACCUUCCUGGAACUUCAGCGUCCAGCCAACCAACUGCAGUGAUGAACUAACAGUCCACCCAGGGCUGGCCGGGGCCGCUUGGAGGACCAGAUCUCUCCCGCUGAAGGGCGAGGGGAGGAGGGAGACAGCUGGAUGUUUGCUUCAUCUCCGUCUGCCAGAGACCCCUUUCCUUUCUUGGCCUGCCUAAUUUCUACCAUCUUGAAAAACUCC